GACGAACCGUGCGAACGUUGUUCGGAAUCACUGGGCUUAAAGGGCGCGUAGGCGGGCUGGCAAGUCAGGGGUGAAAGCCCACGGCUCAACCGUGGAAGUGCCUUUGAUGCUGCCGGCCUGGAGGGAGGUAGGGGCGUGCGGAACUUCCGGUGGAGCGGUGAAAUGCGUAGAUAUCGGAAGGAACACCGGUGGCGAAAGCGGCGCGCUGGACCUCUUCUGACGCUGAGGCGCGAAAGCCAGGGGAGCAAACGGG
rnacentral:rRNA from 1 species